rnacentral:rRNA from 1 species
GCGCACCAGGCGAGAAUUUUUCACAAUGGGGGAAACCCUGAUGGAGCGACGCCGCGUGGAGGAUGAAGGCGUUUUCGUCGUAAACUCCUGUCAUGCGAGAACAAGAAAGUGAUAGUAUCGCAAGAGGAAGAGGCGGCUAACUCUGUGCCAGCAGCCGCGGUAAUACAGAGGCCUCAAGCGUUGUUCGGAUUCAUUGGGCGUAAAGGGUGCGUAGGUGGCAUGGUAAGUUGAAGGUGAAAUCUCGGAGCUCAACUCCGAAACUGCCUUCAAUACUGCUGUGCUCGAGGACUGUAGAGGAGAAUGGAAUUCACGGUGUAGCAGUGAAAUGCGUAGAUAAUCGUGAGGAAGACCAAGUGGCGAAGGCGAUUCUCUGGGCAGUUCCUGACACUGAGGCACGAAGGCUAGGGGAGCAAACGGGAUUAGAUACCCCUGUAG